CAAUGGAUAUCUCGGCUCCCGUAUCGAUGAAGAACGCAGCGAAAUGCGAUACAUGGUGCGAAUUGCAGAAUCUCGUGAAUCAUUGAGUUUUUGAACGCAAGUUGCGCCCGAAGCCACUUUCUGGUCGAGGGCACACCUGCCUGGGUGUCAUGCAUGGAGUUGUCCCUGGACCCUCAUCCGUCAGGAGAAACAUUUAUUUGGAUGUUUUCUGGGCGGGGGGCGGACUACGGGGCAUGUGUUGGCCUCCCGUUUGCUAAUCGACGGUUGGUUCAAAAUUCGGGGUCCUUUCUGACAUGCGUCACCGAACGGUUGAUGGAAACAACGUUUGCCCAGUGUUGGCAUGUCAGCCGCCGCAAUCCCAUGGCUUCGUUGGCACACUCCGAGGGAGUAGCCCUUCGGACCCC
rnacentral:misc_RNA from 1 species